GCGCGGGUGGUGGAAUGGCAGACACGCAUGUUUGAGGGGCAUGUGGCAGCGAUGCUAUGAGGGUUCAACUCCCUCCCCGCGCACCA
rnacentral:tRNA from 1 species